rnacentral:rRNA from 1 species
GAAUGAAACGCUAGCGGCAGGCUUAACACAUGCAAGUUCGAGGGGCAGCAUAACGGUAGUAAUACUAUCGACGGCGACCGGCGGACGGGUGCGUAACGCGUAUGCAACCUACCCUUUACAGGGGGAUAACACUGAGAAAUCGGUACUAAUACCCCAUAAUAUUCUGGGAGGCAUCUUUCGGAGUUGAAAGCUUUGGUGGUAAAGGAUGGGCAUGCGUUGUAUUAGCUAGUUGGUAAGGUAACGGCUUACCAAGGCGACGAUACAUAGGGGGACUGAGAGGUUAACCCCCCACAUUGGUACUGAGACACGGACCAAACUCCUACGGGAGGCAGCAGUGAGGAAUAUUGGUCAAUGGACGGAAGUCUGAACCAGCCAUGCCGCGUGCAGGAAGACGGCUCUAUGAGUUGUAAACUGCUUUUGUACGAGGGUAAACGCAGAUACGUGUAUCUGCCUGAAAGUAUCGUACGAAUAAGGAUCGGCUAACUCCGUGCCAGCAGCCGCGGUAAUACGGAGGAUCCAAGCGUUAUCCGGAUUUAUUGGGUUUAAAGGGUGCGUAGGCGGUUUAGUAAGUCAGCGGUGAAAUUUUGGUGCUUAACACCAAACGUGCCGUUGAUACUGCUGGGCUAGAGAGUAGUUGCGGUAGGCGGAAUGUAUGGUGUAGCGGUGAAAUGCUUAGAGAUCAUACAGAACACCGAUUGCGAAGGCAGCUUACCAAACUAUAUCUGACGUUGAGGCACGAAAGCGUGGGGAGCAAACAGGAUUAGAUACCCUGGUAGUCCACGCAGUAAACGAUGAUAGCUCGUUGUCGGCGAUACACAGUCGGUGACUAAGAGAAAUCGAUAAGCUAUCCACCUGGGGAGUACGUUCGCAAGAAUGAAACUCAAAGGAAUUGACGGGGGCCCGCACAAGCGGAGGAACAUGUGGUUUAAUUCGAUGAUACGCGAGGAACCUUACCCGGGCUUGAAAGUUACUGACGAUUCUGGAAACAGGAUUUCCCUUCGGGGCAGGAAACUAGGUGCUGCAUGGUUGUCGUCAGCUCGUGCCGUGAGGUGUCGGGUUAAGUCCCAUAACGAGCGCAACCCCUACUGAUAGUUGCCAUCAGA